GACGAACCGUCCAAACGUUAUUCGGAAUCACUGGGCUUACAGAGUUCGUAGGCGGUCUGGAAAGUUGGGUGUGAAAUCCCUCGGCCUAACCGAGGAACUGCGCUUGAAACUACCAGACUCGAGGGAGAUAGAGGAAAGCGGAACUGAUGGUGGAGCGGUGAAAUGCGUUGAUAUCAUCAGGAACACCGGUGGCGAAGGCGGCUUUCUGGGUCUUACCUGACGAUGAGGAACGAAAGCCAGGGGAGCGAACGGG
rnacentral:rRNA from 1 species